rnacentral:rRNA from 1 species
UGGGGAAUAUUGGACAAUGGGGGCAACCCUGAUCCAGCCAUGCCGCGUGAAUGAUGAAGGCCCUAGGGUUGUAAAGUUCUUUCGCCGGGGAAGAUAAUGACGGUACCCGGAGAAGAAGCCUCGGCUAACUUCGUGCCAGCAGCCGCGGUAAGACGAAGGAGGCUAGCGUUGUUCGGAAUUACUGGGCGUAAAGCGCACGCAGGUGGUGAGAAUAGUCGGAUGUGAAAGCCCGGAGCUUAACUUCGGAAAUGCAUCCGAUACUGUCUCGCUGGAGUCCGGAAGAGGAGAGUGGAAUUCCCAGUGUAGAGGUGAAAUUCGUAGAUAUUGGGAAGAACACCAGUGGCGAAGGCGGCUCUCUGGUCCGGUACUGACACUCAAGUGCGAAAGCGUGGGGAGCAAA